UAGGGAAUCUUCGGCAAUGGACGGAAGUCUGACCGAGCAACGCCGCGUGAGUGAAGAAGGUUUUCGGAUCGUAAAGCUCUGUUGUAAGAGAAGAACGAGUGUGAGAGUGGAAAGUUCACACUGUGACGGUAUCUUACCAGAAAGGGACGGCUAACUACGUGCCAGCAGCCGCGGUAAUACGUAGGUCCCGAGCGUUGUCCGGAUUUAUUGGGCGUAAAGCGAGCGCAGGCGGUUAGAUAAGUCUGAUGUGAAAGCCUUUGGCUUAACCAAAGAAGUGCAUCGGAAACUGUCAGACUUGAGUGCAGAAGAGGACAGUGGAACUCCAUGUGUAGCGGUGGAAUGCGUAGAUAUAUGGAAGAACACCAGUGGCGAAGGCGGCUGUCUGGUCUGCAACUGACGCUGAGGCUCGAAAGCAUGGGUAGCGAACAGGAUUAGAUACCCUGGUAGUCCAUGCCGUAAACGAUGAGUGCUAGGUGUUGGAGGGUUUCCGCCCUUCAGUGCCGCAGCUAACGCAUUAAGCACUCCGCCUGGGGAGUACGACCGCAAGGUU
rnacentral:rRNA from 1 species